ensembl:lncRNA
CAUUCAUACUGUCUAUGGAACCUAUGGGGUUAUGGCUCCAACAUUUCAUACUGUCUAUGGAACCUAUGGGGUCAUGGCUCCAGUGGGUGUGGUGUUUAUUUGCGGGUAUCAGAUCCUACAUAUCGGUGACCAAAGUGAAGACCGUGCUGCAGCCUGUGCACCAGCCGAACCCUGGGAGAAGUGGGCGGGCCUUCCACGCGGGGCCUGUGAUGUCACGUGGCCAUUAACCUGCUUCAGUACAGCUCUUUCUCGACACCGUCACAAAAUGGUCUCUUGAUCACACAUGGGUAGGUACAUGGAUGGGAGGGGGAGGGGGGGGGGAGAGAGAUGUUUUUUAAACGUCAGACAACUCUCUCUCCCUCCCCAGCCCUACCCACAACGGCACCAUCACCCCCCAGCUGUAUGCAGACUUGGACCAGGAACUACGACAGAUGGGAGUUAUUACAUCAUAAGAGAGGAGCUGGCCAAUGCGGAGCUACUACCAUAUAGCUUCUUCCCAUUGUCACCCAGGGUUGAGGGUCAAAGCCAUGAAUCCCAACCGUCGCUCUGUUUUACCAUGUCUGUUCUGUUCCCCUACAGGAACCCAGGGUGGGGUCUACCAGACAUCGACGUUCUGAGACAGCUCUGUUCCCCUACAGGAACCCAGGGUGGGGUCUACCAGACAUCGACGUUCUGAGACAGCUGGCGUUUGGGAACGGGAUGCGCAGGAGAGGAUGCUGAGCCUCUUUAACCAGUCUGCUGGUGUGUAUGUAUAAACUAAUGGAUCUUUAGGAGGGACUAUACUGUAGAAUAGGUAACAUGGGUGUCGCUACUAGCUCGUCCUUCUAUAAGGAUGGACUAUACUGUAGAAUAUGUAACAUGGGUGUCUGACUAGCUCAGUCUUCUAGGAUGGACUAUACUGUAGAAUAUGUAACAUGGGUGUCUGCUACUAGCUAGUCCUUCAUAAGGAUGGACUAUACUGUAGAAUAGGUAACAUGGUGGUCUGCUACUAGCUCAGUCCUUCUAUAAGGACGUUUAGGAUCAAGUCUUCAGAAUAGGUAACAUGGGUGUCGGCUACUAGCCAGUCCUUCUAUAGGAGGACUAUACGGUAGAAUAUGUAACAUGGGUGUCUGCACUAGCUCAGUCCUUCAUAAGGAUGGACUAUACUGUAGAAUAUGUAACAUGGGUGUCUGCUACUAGCUCGUCCUUCUAUAAGGAUGGACUAUACUGUAGAAUAUGUAACAGGGGUGUCUGCUACUAGCUCAGUCUUCUAUAAGGAUGGACUAUACUGUAGAAUAUGUAAAAUGGGUGUCUGCUACUAGCUCAGUCCUUCUAUAAGGACGUUUAGGAUCAAGUCUUCAGAAUAUGUAACAGAAGUAUAUCUGCUACUAGCUCAGUCCUUCUAUAAGGAUGUUUAGGGACCAAGCCUUCAGAAUAUGUAACAGAAGUUAUAUCUGCUACUAGCUCAGUCCUUCUAUAAGGAUGUUUAGGACCAAGCCUUCAGAUAUGUAACAGAAGGUAUACUGCUACUAGCUCAGUCCUUCUAUAAGGAUGUUUUAGGACCAAGCCAUUUGUUUCCCAGAUAGAGAUGCAACAGUAUAAUAAAUGCCUGGUCUUCAGGAAACAUUGCCAUGGAAACAGGGCUUCUUCUGCAUCGAACAGACAUCCUAAUGACACAUGUUUUAAACAUGUAUUAAUGUAAAUAAAGUACAUUAAUGCAAAAUAAAAAUGUAGUGUGCCUUUCAUUUUCUGCUCCUAAAUGGCAAUGCAUCUAGCCUGGUCCCAGAUCUGUUUGUGCACCGCCAACUGCAUGGCAAUGCAUCUAGCCUGGUCCCAGAUCCGUUUGUGCACCUGCCAACUGGCAUGACAAGAGUGACAAGGAGUGGCAUGACAACAGACUGGCACUCCGCCUACUUCAGAUUCCAAAGAUAAUAUGACAGAAAACACACAAAGCAGGUGGACAAGAGAAGAAAAAGAGAUGUAUUCAAUAUAACCUUAAAAUGACUUUAAAGAAGUCAGACAGAAAGAAGAUCAUUAAUUGAUGAAGUAAAGAAGUUCAAAGAUGGCGUCAAAGGGCGUUACAUAGGAAGUCACUGAUUGGGUGGAUGUUACAUCACAUGUUACAUCACAUGCACAUCACAUGCACAUACCCUGAAGAACUGACUACCACCACCUCUCCACUCCCGGCCCACAGGGUUCUGAAAGACACUCUGAAAGGGUGGAUCUCAAAAGGUAUUUUCCUGAUUCCCUCCCCUAUGUCCUCUCUCUCUCUCUCCUCCUCAAAACAUCUGACAGAAGCGGGCAAAGAAUUAGAGAAGAACCAAGGAAAGGAAACGAGGAAUUGAGGAAAUGGUUUUGUGAUUAAACCGAACUUUACUGAAACUAGCACCAGAAACAAAAUGGAUGCCCAUCUAAUGUAGAGUCCCCCUCUACAGAUAACUACAGAUAACAGCCCUGUCUACACCUCAGCACCCACAGAUACACACCUAUAGGGCUUUUGUCAAAAGUAGUGCACUAUAUAGGAAAAAGAGUGCUGUUUAGGACACACCCAGUCAGAGGGUCUCUCUACUCSCUCAUAGGCUGUGUUUAUACAGGCAGACYCAUUCUGGGGGUUUUGACACUAACUGAUCUUUUGACCAAUCAGGUCAGAUCUUUUGCCACUAAUUGGUCAAAAGAUCAGAAUGGGACUGCCUGUGUAAACAGCCAUAUAGACCCGACUGUAACCCUCUGGAUAACUGCUAGUUAAUAUUUGGCAAUGGAACUACAUUUGUAAUCUUACGUUCUAUUCACACUAGUUCCUCCUGGAGUGUGAUGCAAGGCAUUGUGGUUAAUUAAUGGAGUUGUUGGGAGAGACCCAUUAUGUCAACAGUUGUGACACGGGACACCUUGAGAGAGUGAUGGUGGUAAUCGGUCUCUGGAGCUGUGAAUAUUGGGAAUUGUAGUUCCACACUGGAUGUAAGUGUUCUGUUGUAGUUCCAUACUGUUUCCCCUCAGCCAGUCUGAUUGGUGAGAAGAUAUCAGAAGUGUAAAACCUAAUAAAAAAAGGUACUUCCUUUCUCCCGUGUUCUCAAUCAUCAACUCAAAAAGCUUUAGUGAAAAACACUACCAAGCCGUGGCAACAUAAGACGGCCCAUCUAUACUUUAAAAUGAGCUCUGUGUCUCUCUUGACACUCUCACUAGAACCCUGGAACCUGUUAGAGGUGCUUUUCUGUGCUCCGUCCUACAUCUUCCUUCACUCAUCUCUCCAUUAACUCUCACAGCCCCUGUCAACCAAGCAGGCAGUAUGAACCAUGUCCAAUCACCACAAUAUGACCCCAGAACAGUUACUGCUGUAACUGGAAAUAACGACUUUAACAUGCAAACUAGCUUAUUUAAAUAUGAGAAAGGAUGGUCAUGGUCUUGUCUUAGAUUCCAUUGAUUCCUGUCAUAUUUGAUUUGUUCCUUUAUUAUACCACUGACUAGAUGAGCUUCAGAUAUUAGUUUCAGAA